AGGAUUAACGCUGGCGGCGUGCCUGACACAUGCAAGUCGAACGAGGCCGCAAGGCCGAGUGGCGGACGGGUGAGUAACACGUGACCAACCAACCUCGAAGUUGGGAAUAGCUCUGCGAAAGUAGGGGUAAUACCGAAUGUGGCCCAGGGCAGGCAUCUGCCUUGGUCUAAAGAUUCAUCGCUUCGAGACGGGGUCGCGGCCUAUUAGCUUGUUGGUGGGGUAACGGCUCACCAAGGCGAUGAUGGGUAGCUGGUCUGAGAGGACGACCAGCCACACUGGGACUGAGACACGGCCCAGACUCCUACGGGAGGCAGCAGUGAGGAAUCUUCCGCAAUGGGCGAAAGCCUGACGGAGCAACGCCGCGUGUGGGAUGAAGGCUCUAGGGUUGUAAACCACUGUCGAAGGGGACGAUAAUGACGGUACCCUUGGAGGAAGCCCGGCUAACUACGCGCCAGCAGCCGC
rnacentral:rRNA from 1 species